rnacentral:rRNA from 1 species
UACGUAGGGUGCAAGCGUUAAUCGGAAUUACUGGGCGUAAAGCGUGCGCAGGCGGUUUUGUAAGCCAGAUGUGAAAUCCCCGGGCUCAACCUGGGAAUGGCAUUUGGGACUGCAAGGCUGGAGUACGGCAGAGGAGACUGGAAUUCCUGGUGUAGCAGUGAAAUGCGUAGAUAAUCAGGAGGAAUACCGAUGGCGAAGGCAGGUCUCUGGGCUGAUACUGACGCUCAUGCACGAAAGCGUGGGGAGCAAACAGG